AUGGAGGGCCUACCGCCGGCCGCUGCUAUGGCCACGGAACAACCACUUUGGGCCUCGACCCGCAACCGCAAGCAAACGCCCGUCGUCAAGUCGCCGGUGAAGAGGAAGAGAUCGAAAAAAGCGCAGGCGCAGCAGCCCGCACCCAAGGCCGUCGGCGACAGCGACUCUGUGUUGGUCGGAGAGCCAUUUCCCGCCGAGGAGGCGCACGGCAGGUGGCCCAAUCGAUACAAGCGCCAACGCGGCCCAAAGAGGAGUGAAGGUGGGAGCGUACACGCGGACCACACCGAAGGCAGCGAGGACAAAUAUGGCGAUGGCGGUGGGGAUGAGCCUCACCGAGAUGUCAACCCUGCGGACCUUCGUCUGAUCAACCAGCUUCAGCUGGACUUGGAGAAAGCCCAGGCUGAGCUGAGGACUCAAGGAGAUACUACGAAGAAGGCGCUCGAAGACAAGGACAAGGCACUUGCUGAUGCGAGGGAGAAGAAUGGCAAACUUGAAGAGGAGAACUCGAAACUCAAGAAGAAGAUGGCCGAGUGGGCGAAGGCGCUCGAAGACAAGGACAAGGCACUUGCUGAUGCGAGGGAGAAGAAUGGCAAACUUGAAGAGGAGAACUCGAAACUCAAGAAGAAGAUGGCCGAGUGGGCGAAGAAAAUAAGAGAAUUGAAGGACACUACCAAGUACUUGAAGGACACUACCAAAGAGAUGUCCGACAUGCUUGAUGUCGAGCAAAACCUGGACCUCUCCAAGUAG
rnacentral:rRNA from 1 species